rnacentral:misc_RNA from 1 species
GCAGAAGGAUCAUUAGUGAAAGUUUGGGGUGUGCUAUAGACAGGCAAACACUGAUCUCGCCCCCAUCAUUAUAUCCCUACCAACCCCUGUGCACUGUGAUGCAACACCUUCGAACCAAAAACUCUUUGUAUUGAAUGUACUCUAAAUUGUCUGUAUCGCCUACGAACUAUAUUUACUUUCGACAACUCUUGUCUUGGUUCUCCCA